CCUCGGCCUCCCAAAGUGCUGGGAUUACAGGUGUGAGCCACCACGCCUGGGCUUCUUUUUUAUUUUUAAGGCGGGGUCUCUAUUGCCUGUGAAAAAGUGCAAUGGGGCAAUCAUAGCUCACUGUAGCUUCCACCUCCCAGGUUUGAGCCAUCCUUCUGCCUGUGCCUUCAGAGUAGCUGAGACUACAGGCUUGUGUUACCAAGUCCAGCUAAUUUUUUUGUUUUUCAGUAGAGAUGAGUUCUUGCUAUAUUGUGUAGGCUGGUCUCCAAUCCCUGAGCUCAAGUGAUCGUCCCACCUCAGCAUCCCAAAAUGCUGGGAAUAUAGGCAUCCGCCAGUGGCCCACAUUUUCUUUAUCCAUUCAUCUACUGACAAACAUUAAUGUUGAUUCUAUAUCUGGACAAUCAACACCAACACAUGAAAUCAGCUGGGAGGGGGGCUAUGUCCUGGAAAGCCACAGGGGUUGAGCUGCCCAAGGCUGUGGGAGUGAGACAUGGAGUCAAAGGUUAUCAUUUCAGAGCUUUAUGAUUUGACCAUCCCUCUGGAUGUCAGUCUUGCAUGGGGCUUGUAGACCCUUUGUUUUAGCCAGCUUCUACCAUUUGGAAUGGGUGUAUUUAUGCAAUGCCUUUAUUCCCAUUGUAUCUAGCAAAUACCGGACUUGCUUUUGAUUUUACAGGCUUGUAAGUAGAAGGCACUUGCUUUGUCUCAGAUGAGACUUUGGACUUGGACUUUUGGGCUAAGGAUGGAAUGAGUUAAGACUUUAGGAGACUGUUGAGAAAGCAUGAUUUGUUUUGAAAUGUGAAAGGGACAUAAGAUUUUGGGGGAGCCAGGGGGUGAAAUGAUAUGGUUAGGCUUUGUAUCCCCAUGCAAAUCUCAUUUUGAAUUUUAAUUCCCAUAAUCCCCAAGUGUCAAGGGAGAGACCAGGUGGAGAUAAUGGAAUCAUGGGGUGGUUUCCCCUAUGCUGUUCUCAUGAUAGUGAGUGAGUUCUCAUGAGAUCUGUUGAUUUUAUAAGUGUUUGGUAGUUCCUCCGGUGUUCAUUCUCCUUCCUGUCAUCUUGUGAAUAAGGUAUCUUGCUUCUCCUUCGCUCUCUGCUAUGAUGAUAAGUUUCCUGAGACUCCGCAGCCACGGUGAACUGUGAUUCAAGCUGCAAGAUAGAUGACUAGGACUCAAAUACCGGAAAAGAGAGCUCCACAGAACUUUUUCUCCAAGUGUGUCACCGAGAAAUAGUCCUGAAAGCAGAAUACCCCAACUGGCACAAGAGAACCACUGAUUUGCUUCCUGUCACCACAGAUCGUGCACACUGAGGAAGACAGACAACAAAUAACUCUGCGGAUAGAUCAACAUAGUGAGGAACUGAGUUCUCCAAACAGCAGCUACAUGAGUGAGCCAUUCUGCAAAUGAAUCAUAAGCCCAGGCAAGCCUUUAUGUGACAACUGUUUGAAGAUAACCAUACAUAAAGACUUGAUCCAAAACCAUUCAACUAAAUCACUCCAGAUUCUUGACCCACCAAAAAAAAUGUGAGAUAAGUGUUUUGUUUUGUUCGAGUUGUUUUUUAUUUCUUUAAUUUUGGUAAUAUAUAUAUAACAAAAUUCACCAUUUUAGCCAUUUUUAAGUGUAUAAUUUAAUUGGCAUCUAGUACCCUGAUAUUUUUUUACUGCCAUCACCACCACCCAUCAAAAGAACUCUUUUCUUUUUAAUUUGAAAAGUAUUACUGUUAAUUUUACAUCAAAUGAUUCAUAAAAUUUACCAGUGCAGUCAUCUACUCCGGGCUUUUUUAUUUUUUUCCUUGAGAAGGUUUUGAUUACACAUUUAAUAUCUUUACUAAUUACAGGUUUAUUCAGAUUUUCUAUUUCUUCAUGACUUAUUCUUAGUAGAUUGCAUGUUUCUACAAAUUUGUCCAUUUCAUUAAGAUUAUCCAAUUUGUUGGCAUACAAUUGCUGGUAGUACUUUCUUAUAAUCCUUUUCAUUGAUGUAAAAUAAGUAGUAAUAUUCCCUCUUUUAUUUCUAAUUUUAGUUAUUUGAAUCUUCUUUUCUUCCCUUAGUUUGUUUAGCUAACGGUUGUCAACAUUCUUGCUCUUUUCAAAGAACCAGUUAUUGGUUUUGUUGAAUUUCUCUAUUGUUUUUCUACUAUCUAUUUUGUUUAUUUCUGUUGUAAUAUUUAUUAUUUUCUUACUUCUAGAUUUGGGUUUUGUUUGUUCUUCUUUUUCUAGUUCCUUGAGAUGUAAAUUUAGAUGGUUGAUUUGAGAUAUUUCUUCCUUCUUAUAAAUAUUUAUAGCUACAAACUUCCCUUUAACACUGCUUUUACUGCCUCCCACAAGUUGUUAUCUAAUGCAUUUUUAUCUUCAUUACUCUUGAGAUAUUUUUUCCAAUUUCCUCUGUGACUCCUUCUUUUUCCCAUUGGUGGUUUGAGUGUAUUGUUUAAUUUACACAUAUUUUUGUGAUUUCCUGUUUUCUUUUUGCCAUUGAUUUCUACCUUCAAUUCAUUGUGAUCAGAAAAUAUAAUUUGUAUGAUUUUAAUCAUUCUAAAUUUAUUAAGUUUUGCUUAUUACCUAAUAUAUGGUCUAUCCUAGAGAAAAUUCCAUAUGCACUUGAGAAAAAUGUGUAUUCUCCUAUUGUUGGGCAGUGUUCUAUAUAUGACUGUUAAGUCACAUUGGUGUAUACAGUUGUUCAAGUCCUGUGUUUCUCUGAUCUGGCUGGCUGUUCUAUCCAUUAUUGAAAGUGGAAAAUUCAAGUCUCCUACUAUUAUUGUGGAGCUUUCUAUUUCUCUUUUUAAUUCUGUCAGUGUUUGCUUCAACUGUUUAGUAGCUCUGAUGUUUGCUGCAUAUAUCUUUAUAAUUAUUACAUCUUCUUGGUGAUCUGACUCUUUUAUCACUAUAUAAUGUCCUUCUUUUAACCUUUAACAAUUUUUUACUUAAAAUAUAUUUUGUCUGAUAUUAAUAUAGCCAUGUUUGUUCUAUUUCAACUACUAUAUGCAUGGAAUAGCUUUCAUUUUCAAUCUAUGCAUGUCCUUAGAACUAAAGUGUGUCUCUUACAGAAAGCAUAUAGUUGGAUUUUAUUUUUUAAUACAAUCCACUAAUAUAUGUCUUUUGAUGGGGAGGAGGUUGUCCACAAGUGUUUGUUUUGUUUUGUUUUGAACCACUGUAUUUUGGAGUAAUCACAGCAAUAGAAAACUAACACAAUACCUGUAGAUUAGUUAACAGUAUCAUAUCAAUGUUAAUUUCCUGAUUUUUAUAAUUAUACUAUGGUUAUGAAAAACACAUUAUUAGUUUAAGGGAAAUCAUAUGAAUGUAUCUUCAGGGUUAAGAGAUAUAAUGCCUCAAAUUUUCCCUAAAUGUUUCAUAAAGACAGCAAGAUGACAAUGCAAUGUGGUAAAAUGUUAACUGCUGGCAAAAGAGGGUGAAAGUAAAUUAAAUUCUUUGUUACUAUUAUUGCAACUUUGCUUUAGGUCUAAAAUUAUGCUACAAUUUUAAAGAUUAAAUAAAACUUAAUUUGGAGACUACAAAUUAAGGACAUAUUAGAAUCCACAGUGGAAAUAUAGCACUGACACUAACUUUUAGCUUCUCUGGGUUUCCAGAAGAAAAGAAGACUGAAAAAUGAAUAGAGGUAAUAUACAGAUAGACACUCACUGAAUAUUUUACAGAAUUGAGGAAAGAUAUUAAUAUGAAGAUUAAGUAACCUAAAAUUCAAAAAAUUUAAAUUAAAGGAAAUUAAUGCCUGGACGUAUAGUACAAAUGCAUGACACUAAAGCCAAUGAAAAAAUAUUAAAUAUUGCAGGAGGAAAGAUUACCUUCUUCAAAGACAGCAAUAGCUUGACAGCUGACUUAUAUACUUUUUUUUCCUUUUUUAUCUUUUUUUUUUUCUUUGAGACAAAAUCUCACUCAGGCUGGAGUGCAAUGACACAAUCAUAGCUAAAUGCAGCCUUGAACUCCUGGGAUCAAGUCAUCUUCCCAACUCAGCCUGUCGAGUAACUGGGACUAUAGGUGCAUGCAACCACAGCCAGCAAUUUUUUUGUAUUUUUUGUAGAUACAAGGUUUUGCCAUGUUGCCCAGGCUGAUCUUAAACUCCUGGGCUCAAGCAAUCCACCUGCCUCAGCCUGCCAAACUGCUGGGAUUACAGGCAUGAGCCACCAUGCUUGGCCAAUGGCUGACUUCUGAAUUGCAAAGAUGAUGACCAGAGUCCAGUGUCGUAAUAGGUUGAAUGUAACAAAAUAAAAUAACUGGUAACUUACAAUCAUAUACUUAAAAAAAUGGCUUUCAAUGAGGAGAAUAAAAUAAAGACCUUCAUAGACAAACAAAAAUUGAGCUUUUGCUACCAACAGAUAAUUACAAAGGGACAUCUUAAAUGUUCUGCAGGAGGAAGUAAAUAAUCCUGGAAGAAAAAUGUCAGAUAGAAAAAGGAAUAAUGAGCAACGUCAGUGACCAAUAUGCUUAUUCAUGUAUAUUAAACAAAAAUGAAGUUGUCAUCGGGAUUAAAAACUGUAAUGGAACAAAAAUAUAUAAAAAUUGCAUGUAAAAUAAUUGUAGUUAAGUUAUUUUGAGCACCUAUAUUAUUGUGAAAGUGAAUAAAGAUUAAAACUGACACUUUGAUGAGUUUAUGCAUCAUAACUGUUCUAGUGUUUAUAUUAGAAAUUAAAAUAUGGUUAUUAAUUUUACCAUAUUAAUAAAACAUGGUUAUUAAUAACAGAAACAUGAAUGAGAAUAAUUAAUUCAAAAUAUCUAAGAAAUACACAAAGAUAAAAGGGAUUAGAUAAAUAAAAAACAAAAAUAACAGUGAAGACAUAAUAAAAAUAUGGUAGCAUUUGUAAUAAAUGUAAAUAGACUAAUUACCUCAGCUAAAAUACAAAAUUCAAAGCUGUGGCUGAGUGGCAGAGAAGCAGUAUGGUUCCAUUAAUGUACAUUUCAAAAAUUUAUAAUUUAUAUAUCUCACAGUAAACAUAUACUGGUAAAAAUGUAGCCUAAAAUCAUAAUAAAAAGCAAAAUAAUGAUAAUAAAAUUCAAAAGAAAAGUUAUCUCUGAGAAGUCAGAGAAAGGGAUUGGAUUAAGGAAGAACAUACUUGCUAAUUCAGGAUAUGUUAAUUUUUUUUCCUUACACUAGAUUCUAGGCAUAAUGGUUAUGCAUUGUAUACUUUCACCUACCCAUCAUAUAUUUUAAAAUGUUUGUUUCCCUCCAUAGUCAAUAAAACCAAUAAAAAAGAGGUAGCAUCAAAAAUAAAAGAUUUUAGAUGAAUAUAGAAUGUAUUGUAUCUCUGGUCUGAUGCUACCUUUUCUGUCAUCUUGAGAAGGAGAGCUGUCUUUGAUUGAUGAACCAGACUGAAUGAAUACAGCACUGCAAAAACUAAACCUGGGGCAAAUCUAGAUGACCAUUAACCUCUGCCAGGUAGUUAAAUGUUGUAGACUGCAAAAAUGUCCCAAUUUCUCACCACUGCCUUUAUAGUGUGACCUUGCAACUACCUCUAUCCAGAGGUGGAGUCUAUUUGUCUAUGUCUUGUUUCUGGGAUGGGCUUGUAACCUGCUUUGACCAAUAAGAUGCAGAAAAAUAUAUAUAUAUAUAUGCUGGGUCAGUUCUGAGCACUGGUCUCAAGAAAUUGUAAAUACUAUUCUUUGUCUUGAAAUCCUGCUAUCCAUUCUGUGAAUUUGUCUAAGCUACCCCAUUGUAUGAUGAGAGAUAUGUGACCCAGUCACUCCUGUUGUAUCUGUCAGAAAGUUGAAAAUAGGUGAAUGAGGCCAUCCUGGAGUAGCCAGCCUUGGCCUGCCCUACAGUUGACUUCAUGUGAGUAAGUGAGCUCAGGUACAAUACUGAAUCUAGGAUCAUCAAAACUGCCUGCCCAUUGACCGGCCCAUUGACAAUAAAUGAUUGUUGUAUUAAGCAUGUAAGUUUGGGGGUUAAUCAAAGCAGAUAUUAAUCAGAAAUAAAUGGAUUCUACAACUUUAUAAGCAC
rnacentral:lncRNA from 10 species